UACAGAGGGGGCAAGCGUUAUUCGGAAUUAUUGGGCGUAAAGGGCGCGUAGGCGGCCUGGCAAGUGGAAGGUGAAAUCCCUCGGCUUAACCGGGGAACUGCCCUCCAAACUGCUUGGCUUGAGUCCGGGAGAGGUGAGUGGAAUUCCCAGUGUAGCGGUGAAAUGCGCAGAUAUCGGGAGGAACACCGGUGGCGAAGGCGGUUCUCUGGACCUUACCCGACACUGAGGAGCGAAAGCGUGGGGAGCGAACAGG
rnacentral:rRNA from 1 species